UAACCUGCCUUAGACAUUGGGAUAGCCUCGGGAAACCGGGAUUAAUACCGAAUAACAUCACAUAGACACAUGUCCUUGUGAUCAAAACUCCGGUGGUCUAAGAUGGACUCGCGUCCCAUUAGCUAGUUGGUAAGGUAACGGCCUACCANGGCGACGAUGGGUAGCCGGCCUGAGAGGGUGAACGGCCACAUUGGAACUGAGAAACGGUCCAAACUCCUACGGGAGGCAGCAGUGGGGAAUAUUGCACAAUGGGGGAAACCCUGAUGCAGCGACGCCGCGUGAACGAAGAAGGCUUUCGAGUCGUAAAGUUCUUUUAUAUGGGAAGAUAAUGACGGUACCAUAAGAAAAAGCCCCGGCUAACUACGUGCCAGCAGCCGCGGUAAUACGUAGGGGGCUAGCGUUGUCCGGAAUCACUGGGCGUAAAGGGUUCGCAGGCGGAAAUGCAAGUCAGGUGUAAAAGGCAGUAGCUUAACUACUGUAAGCAUUUGAAACUGCAUAUCUUGAGAAGAGUAGAGGUAAGUGGAAUUUUUAGUGUAGCGGUGAAAUGCGUAGAUAUUAAAAAGAAUACCGGUGGCGAAGGCGACUUACUGGGCUCAUUCUGACGCUGAGGAACGAAAGCGUGGGUAGCAAACAGGAUUAGAUACCCUGGUAGUCCACGCUGUAAACGAUGAGUGCUAGGUGU
rnacentral:rRNA from 1 species